rnacentral:rRNA from 2 species
GGGCCAUGGCAGCGGCUCACCAUGCGAGUCGAACGCCCCGCAAGGGGAGUGGCCUACGGGUGAGUAACGCGUGGGACCUACCCUUUCCUGCGUCCUAGCUCCUUUACCUGUAAUAUAUACCGCAGACACCCUACCGGGGAAAGAUUUAUCGGGGAGGAUUGGCCCGCGUUGGAUUAGCUUUUGGUGGGGUAAAGGCCUACGUCGCAAAAUCCAUAGCUGGUCUGAGACGAUGAUCGGCCAAUUGGGACUGAGACACGGCCCAAACUCCUACGGGAGGGGAAGUGGGGAAUAUUGAACAAUGGGCGCAAGCCUGAUCCGCCAUGCCGCGUGAGUGAUGAAGGCCUUAGGGUUGUAAAGCUCUUUCACCGGAAAAGAUAAUGACGGUUUCCGGAGAUUUUCCCCGGCUAACUUCGUGCCAGCACCCACCGUAAUACUAAGGGGGCUCCCGUUGUUCAAACUUACUGGGCGUAAGGCGCACGUACGCCGAUAUUUAAAUCGGGGGUAAAAUCCCACAGCUCAACUCGGGAACUGCCUUUCAUACUGGGUAUCUUAAGUAUGGAAAAGGUACCCCGGAACUCGAACUGUAGAGUUGAAAUUAUUAUAUAUUCCUAGGACCUCCAUUCGCCAAAGGCGACUUACUGGUCUAUUACUGACACUGCAGGUGCGAAAGCGUGGAGCAUCAAUCAGGAUAACAUACCCCUGGUGAGCCCACACCAUGACAAUGAAUGGUUGCCGGUCCGGGCAUAUACGGUUCAGUGGCUCGGCAUACGCAUUAAAAAUCCCCCUGGGGAGUACUGGUCCCCAAAUAAAAACCUCAAAUGUAAUGACGCGGCCCUACAAUUAUCCCGUGCGGAGCUAGGUGUUAGAUUCAAACCGAACACCCAAAGAGACGUGUUCCAGGCGUCUGUAGCACUCGGAGGUAUGACGCAUUAGGAUACAAUAUCCCUCUCCCCUGAGCGGUCCCACCAGGCAAGUGUGCUAGAUGACCGCUGGCUCAGCGUCAUGAUAGAGCGGUGGUGUGGAAGACGCACGACAGAGCGCGUACCUCCUCCGUUAACGUACAUACGUAUUGUAUUAGCGAGAACAGUACAUGCGUGCACUCAGAGCUGGCGUAAACGAUAC